AGAAAAAAAAAUUGUAUUGGGGAAAUAACAAUAAAAAAUUUUUUAAUUAAAAAAAAAGAAAGACCCCUGUGUCAUUGAGAUCAAAUGAGGAUUGCUUCCUCUAACCCUCCCCCCACCCCCCAAUGUAUCUAGGCCUCUAAAAAUUGAAUUUUAUGGUGAACAAAUAAUUCUAAGCUGGCUAUGUUUGAGUAGGAAAGUAGAGCAUCAUUAUUUAGUAGCCAUAGUCCUAAAUCUAAUGUAUGAAUUUCUAAUUUAAAAAAAAAAAGCUAUAUUUGGAAGAGGUGUUGCUUUUAGAUUUGCAGCUGAACUUGGUCUGGUUUUGUGUCGUUUCCUAUUUAAAACUUCAGGUGUGGCUUUCAGCCCUUGCUGUUCUUGUACUGAUCACUUGCCAUACAGGCAUAUCAGGCAGGACAUAGAACCUAGAGGCCACUGAGACCAGUAGCCGGGAGGAGAAAUAUAUAUUUUAAAAUGCACGGAAGACACAGAGAAGAAAACAAGGCUACCCAAAUCUGACGUAUUUAUUGAGAAGACACUAUGUCUUAGGCCCUUUGCCUGGUGUUGAAAAUGCAGCUGGGAUCAAGACAGACACAUCACUUUAUGAGAUGGGAGAAAACAACCAUUUCCACUGGAGUCAGGUAAAGACUGCAGUUUUUCUGCCAAGAAAAGAAAAGAUUACAGAGGGAAAAAAAAGAAGACAGGAGGAUCCUUUGUUCUUGAAAAGAGACUUGAGAAAUUACUGCCUCACAACAUCACACAGCUGUUUUAAACAACAUCUGAUGGAAUUGUUGCUGGUUGUAUUAAAAAAUAAUUGAGGAGGUUUUUCCCUUUUUUGUGUAAAAGUGAUCCUAUUUCUUCUAUAAAUGUUUAAGAGAAUUUAUGGCAAAGCCAUCU
rnacentral:lncRNA from 1 species